UACGUAGGGGGCAAGCGUUGUCCGGAAUCAUUGGGCGUAAAGCGCGCGUAGGCGGCCCGGUAAGUCUGUUCUGAAAGUCCAGGGCUCAACCCUGGGAUGCGGAUGGAUACUGUCGAGCUCGAGUCCGGAAGAGGCGAGUGGAAUUCCUGGUGUAGCGGUGAAAUGCGCAGAUAUCAGGAGGAACACCAAUGGCGAAGGCAGCUCGCUGGGACGUGACUGACGCUGAGACGCGAAAGCGUGGGGAGCAAACAGG
rnacentral:rRNA from 1 species